GCAGUCGAGCGAGAAGGUCUUCGGACUGAGUAUAGCGGCGGACGGGUGAGUAACGCGUAGGAAUUUGCCCAGUAGUGGGGGACAACUCGGGGAAACUCGAGCUAAUACCGCAUACGCCCUAUGGGGGAAAGCAGGGGAUCUUCGGACCUUGCGCUAUUGGAUAAGCCUGCGUCGGAUUAGCUAGUUGGUGGGGUAAGGGCCCACCAAGGCGACGAUCCGUAGCUGGUCUGAGAGGAUGAUCAGCCACACUGGGACUGAGACACGGCCCAGACUCCUACGGGAGGCAGCAGUGGGGAAUAUUGGACAAUGGGGGAAACCCUGA
rnacentral:rRNA from 1 species